GGUGAAGUAUUUGAUGUGGGGGUCAGAGGUCAGGAGCCAGAAGGCAACUGGAGAGAUUCUAGUCACUAGAAUCUAGUGAGUGAGGGUACAAACAUAUGCUUAGGUGGGCCAACGCCUUGAUUUACCUACCCCCUUGACUUACCUACCCCACUGAUUUACCUACCCCCCUGAUUUACAUAACCCCUAGAGACAAGCACAGCUGACAGGUCCUGUUAUCAGGUCUCUACUCUCCCCAGCCUCUCAUCUGUCUAGCAAGGCACCGCAUUUGAGUAAGGUGGUAAGGCAAAGAGAGGAAGCUUAUUUUAUGAUGAUCCCUGCAGAAGACUGGAGAUUGCUUCCAGGAACUUGAUUCAGGACUAGCAAUGCACAAUGCAUGGCAGACAGAUUUAACUGAUGUGAAAUAAUUAGUGAAUCCAGGCUACCAGCUUUCCACAAAGAAAAUUUAUCCUAAAGUGCCACUAGACUUUUUUAUGAGGAUACAUAAAAGAUAAAGUUUAUGGCAUAAACCUGGUAACAGCCGAGGAAUUGAGGGCUCCCAAAAACCAAACGAAAUUAUUCUUGAGGUUUUUUAUUCCAUUGUUUCGCGUUAUCAGCAGUGCCUAGACCAGAUAGUCAUCAGCUUGACAAAAAAAAGUUUUUAAUUCUGUAGAUUCCUGUAAAUUUUGAAAAUGAACUGUAUGUUAAUAAACACUGACUUUAUAAUCAUUCAAAGUAUGUGUACAUUUUUUGGGAUAGCUGUGUAUCCUUGUAGCUUGUACCUAUCUUUUAAAUAAUAAAUAUAGAUCUCAGUGCUUAUAAUUAAAACA